UGAGUACGAGCUGCUACGGCAGCGAAGUGGGUGAUGUCAAGCUUCCAAGAAAAGCCCUAUACCCGUUAAGGCAUGACGGCCUGUACCCGAAACCGACACAGGUGGGGUGGUAGAGAAUACCGAGGGGCGCGAGAUAACUCUCUCUAAGGAACUCGGCGAAAUGGCCCCGUAACUUCGGGAGAAGGGGUGCCACCGCAAGGUGGUCGCAGUGAAGAGGCCCAGGCGACUGUUUACCAAAAACACAGGUCUCCGCUAAGUCGCAAGACGAUGUAUGGGGGCUGACGCCUGCCCAGUGCCGGAAGGUUAAGGAAGCUGGUCAGCGCAAGCGAAGCUAGCGACUGAAGCCCCGGUGAACGGCGGCCGUAACUAUAACGGUCCUAAGGUAGCGAAAUUCCUUGUCGGGUAAGUUCCGACCCGCACGAAAGGCGUAACGAUCUGGGCGCUGUCUCGGAGAGAGGCUCGGCGAAAUAGAAUUGUCUGUGAAGAUGCGGACUACGUGCACCCGGACAGAAAGACCCUAUGAAGCUUUACUGUAGCUUGGUAUUGUGCCCGGGCUCUGAAUGCGCAGGAUAGGUGGGAGGCUUUGAUCCAUCGCUUGUGGGUAAUGGUGAGCCAACGGUGAGAUACCACUCUUUCAGAGCUAGGGUUCUAACCCUCACCCGUUAUCCGGGGAGGGGACAGUAUCAGGUGGGCAGUUUGACUGGGGCGGUCGCCUCCUAAAAGGUAACGGAGGCGCGCAAAGGUUUGCUCAGGCUGGUUGGAAAUCAGCCGACGAGUGUAAAAGCAGAAGCAAGCUUGACUGUGAGACCAACAAGUCGAACAGGGACGAAAGUCGGCUUUAGUGAUCCGACGGUUCUGAGUGGAAGGGCCGUCGCUCAACGGAUAAAAGUUACUCUAAGGAUAACAGGCUGAUCUCCCCCAAGAGUUCACAUCGACGGGGAGGUUUGGCACCUCGAUGUCGGCUCAUCGCAACCUGGGGCUGAAGUCGGUCCCAAGGGUUGGGCUGUUCGCCCAUUAAAGCGGUACGCGAGCUGGGUUCAGAACGUCGUGAGACAGUUCGGUCCAUAUCCGGUGCAUGCGUAAGAACAUUGACAGGAGUUCCCCCUAGCACGAGAGGACCGGGAGGAACGCACCCCUGGUGUACCAGUUAUCGUGCCAACGGUAAACGCUGGGUAGCCAUGUGCGGAGAGGAUAACCGCUGAAAGCAUCUAAGUGGGAAGCCCACCUGAAGAUGAGUGUUCUCAUGGA
rnacentral:rRNA from 1 species